rnacentral:rRNA from 1 species
GUGAGACAGUUCGGUCCCUAUCUGCCGUGGGUGUAGGAUACUUGAGAGGAGUUGCCCCUAGUACGAGAGGACCGGGGUGAACGAUCCACUGGUGUACCAGUUGUUCCGCCAGGAGCAGUGCUGGGUAGCUAUGAUCGGACAGGAUAACCGCUGAAGGCAUCUAAGCGGGAAGCCCCCCUCAAAACAAGGUAUCCCUGAGGACCGUGGUAGACCACCACGUCGAUAGGCCAGAGAUGUAAGCGCGGUAACGCGUUCAGUUGACUGGUACUAAU